UAUGUCUAAGUUUUUGCUAUGGUUUAUUAUAUCAUGUGGGUGUCAUAUUGGUGACAAUUCCAAUUGCAUGGUUUAAAAAGUUAUUAUAUCAUCUGUUCUAAUAAUGUCUUACCGUGAAAAGAAACAAAUUAGUAACUUUUUUUUGCAGAGUAAGGAAAGAUAUUAGUAUGAAAAUAAGGACUCCAUUGUGACAGUUAUAAUAGUUAAGAAUGAUCCAAUGGAAGACUAGACUAAUUUUUUUAUGUUUAUCUCAACUUCCAAAUUGCAAGCACAUCCAAGUUGGUAACAACAAAAUACUCCUCAAAACUAAGGGAGCAUACUGAACUAGAGCAAUAAUACGAGAAGCAGCACCUUGCAGGUAUAAACAACAUCAAACAUGUUGAAUUGUUUGACAAAAUACAUAAAGUUUGAUGCUAUCAUCAUAGCAAGCUUUUUAUUUACUUUUUGUUUUUGCAAAAUGUUCUUGGUUUUUUUUUUGAACAACUGUAUGUAAAUAUGAUGGCGCUACAAUUGUUUUCUUUUGAUAUUUAAAUUAAACCUGAGUGUUACCCUUAAAA